UACGUAGGGGGCUAGCGUUGUCCGGAUUUAUUGGGCGUAAAGCGCGUGUAGGCGGCCCGGUAAGUCCGCUGUGAAAGUCCAGGGCUCAACCCUGGAAAGCCGGUGGAUACUGCCGGGCUAGAGUCCGGUAGAGGAGCACGGAAUUCCUGGUGUAGCGGUGAAAUGCGCAGAUAUCAGGAGGAACACCAGCGGCGAAGGCGGUGCUCUGGGCCGGAACUGACGCUGAGGAGCGAAAGCGUGGGGAGCGAACAGG
rnacentral:rRNA from 1 species